GAUGAACGCUGGCGGCGUGCCUAAUACAUGCAAGUCGAGCGAACAGACGAGGAGCUUGCUCCUCUGACGUUAGCGGCGGACGGGUGAGUAACACGUGGAUAACCUACCUAUAAGACUGGGAUAACUUCGGGAAACCGGAGCUAAUACCGGAUAAUAUAUUGAACCGCAUGGUUCAAUAGUGAAAGACGGCUUUGCUGUCACUUAUAGAUGGAUCCGCGCCGCAUUAGCUAGUUGGUAAGGUAACGGCUUACCAAGGCAACGAUGCGUAGCCGACCUGAGAGGGUGAUCGGCCGCACUGGAACUGAGACACGGUCCAGACUCCUACGAGAGGCAGCAGUAGGGAAUCUUCCGCAAUGGGCGAAAGCCUGACGGAGCAACGCCGCGUGAGUGAUGAAGGUCUUCGGAUCGUAAAACUCUGUUAUUAGGGAAGAACAAAUGUGUAAGUAACUAUGCACGUCUUGACGGUACCUAAUCAGAAAGCCACGGCUAACUACGUG
rnacentral:rRNA from 1 species